GCUGUCCCUACAGCAGGUACUAUUUGAUCUGUUCGUAAUUUCCAUUCAAAACAAUUAUUUUUGCUAUCAUUAUUAGGGCAGAUUUUUGUCUGCUAUUCUGAUUGCCAUUGCAAUAUAGGAAGGUCUGGAUGAGGUUUACAGAAUAGAGAAUAAUGGGCAAAAAGUGCAGAAAAAGGCUUAAAGUAAAGAAUAGAGAAAAAUAGGCCAAAAUGAUAUUUUGAUGGAGUGCUAAAUAUACAGAAUAGAGAAUAACAUUUGGGCAAAAUAAGUAAAGAAUAGAGAAAGAUGGUCUAAAAAUAAAGAAAUAAAGGACCCCCCAUCCUGAUCCUCAUACAAUGGAUUUUGCAAUUAUGUAUAGCAGAUUUUGUUCCAUGUUACUUAUUGCAUCUGUUGUACCGAUAGCUGGUAAUAUGAUGUGUGUACUAAAGAGGAGAAGGAAGAGUUUAGGAGAGCCGUGGUGUAGUGGUUAGCGCAUCGGACUACAAACACAAAGGUUCCUGGUUCAACCCCUGUUCCAGGGAGAAAAUUUCAGGAACUGAAUUUUCAGCUCUCCCUUGACACCAUUUGCAAGUAUGGUCUUGAGAAAUGAUGAUAUUCAGUCGGAAGGAGACAAUAAAUGGCUGACCUGUGUUAAGAGAGAGCAAUAUCUCUUUCAUGUAAAUUUAGACACACUUGUAGAUUUCGAAAAAGAGCAGGCUAAUGCUGCUACAAGCUAAGACAGCACUCGCACCAGCAAAAUGGAAAGGGAUGAAUAUAAGUUGUAAUAACUUGUUUCCCAAUCCACUAUGAAUAAAUAUGUUUAAACUAAAAGAGGGUCUGAAUGGGGUUUACAGAAUAGUGAAUACCAUGAAUAAGGGGCAAAAAGUGCAGAAUAAAGAAUAGUGAUAAAUAGGCAAAUGUAAUACAAAAUAGAGAAUAAUGGGCAAUAUAUGUAAAGAGCAGAGAAAAAUGGUCUAAAAAAUUCAAGAAUAAAAUAUAAGUGAAGGACCCCCCAUCAAGAACCUCAUUAAAUGUUGCUGUUUUUAUACGACCGCAAAAAAAUUUUUGUGGUCGUAUAUUGGUAUGACGUUGGCGUCCUCGUCGUCGUCUGAAGACACAUUAGUUUUCGCACUCUAACUUUAGUUUAAGUGAAUGGAUCUCAAUGAAAUUUUACCAUCAGGUUCAAUACCACAAUAGGAAGGUGGGGAUUGAUUUUGGGGGUUAUGGUACCCACAGUUAAGGAAUUAGGGGCCAAAAAUAAGCAUUUUUGUAACUUCCAGACAUAACUUGUGUGUAAGUGUAUGGAUCUCUCUGACAUUGUACCACAAGGUUCCAUAUCACAAAGGGAAUGCUGGGAUUGAUUUUGGGGGUAAUUGUCUCCAAAUUUUAGGAAUUAGGGGCAAAAAAGGGGCAAAAAACAAGCAUUUUUCUAGUUUCAUGACAAUAACUUGUGUGUAAGUGUAUGGAUCUCUCUGACAUUGUAUCAUAAGGUUCCAUAUCACAAAGGGAAUGCUGGGAUUGAUUUUGGGGGUAAUAGCCUCCAAAUUUUAGGAAUUAGGGGCCAAAAAGGGGCAAAAAACAAGCUUUUUUCUAGUUUCAUGACAAUAACUUGUGUGUAAGUGUAUGGAUCUUUAUGAAAUUGUACUACAAGGUUCCAUAUCACAAAGGGAAAGCUGGGUUUGAGUUUGGGGUUAAUUGCCCUAAACGUUUAGGAAUUUGGGGCCAAAAAGGGGCAAAAAAAACAAGCAUUUUUCUAGUUUCCCGACAAUAACUUGUGUUCAAGUGUAUGAAUCUCUCUGAAAUUGUACUGCAAGGUACCAUACCACAAAGGGAAAGCUGGGAUUGAGUUUGGGGGUGAUGAAUCAUAAGGGGGUUCAAAAAAUUGGGGGGGAUUUUUUUUCCCUUUUUUUCUUUAAAAUUUUCCAUUUUAAAUUGGUUAUUUCUGAUUUAUAUAUAAAAGCAAAUAAUAAUGAUAUGGUUUGAAUAGGUAAAUUAAAAUUUUUUAAGUUCUUAAA